AGGACGAACGCUGGCGGCGUGCUUAACACAUGCAAGUCGAGCGGAAAGGCCCUUCGGGGUACUCGAGCGGCGAACGGGUGAGUAACACGUGAGCAACCUGCCCUUAGCUCUGGGAUAGCUCCGGGAAACCGGAUUAAUACCGGAUACGACCUAGGCCGACAUCGGCCAUGGUGGAAAGUUUUUCGGCUAGGGAUGGACUCGCGGCCUAUCAGCUAGUUGGUGGGGUAAAGGCCUACCAAGGCGACGACGGGUAGCCGGCCUGAGAGGGCGACCGGCCACACUGGGACUGAGACACGGCCCAGACUCCUACGGGAGGCAGCAGUGGGGAAUCUUGCGCAAUGGGCGAAAGCCUGACGCAGCGACGCCGCGUGGGGGAUGAAGGCCUUCGGGUUGUAAACCCCUUUCAGCAGGGACGAAGCGAAAGUGACGGUACCUGCAGAAGAAGCGCCGGCUAACUACGUGCCAGCAGCCGC
rnacentral:rRNA from 1 species